rnacentral:misc_RNA from 1 species
GAUGAAGAACGUAGCGAAAUGCGAUAACUAAUGUGAAUUGCAGAAUUCAGUGAAUCAUCGAGUCUUUGAACGCACAUUGCGCCCCCUGGUAUUCCGGGGGGCAUGCCUGUCCGAGCGUCAUUGCUGCCCUCAAGCACGGCUUGUGUGUUGGGCUCCGUCCCCCCGGGGACGGGCCCGAAAGGCAGCGGCGGCACCGAGUCCGGUCCUCGAGCGUAUGGGGCUUUGUCACCCGCUCUGUAGGCCCGGCCGGCGCCAGCCGACAACCCAUCAUCCUUUUCAGGUUGACCUCGGAUCAGGUAGGGAUACCCGCUGCACUUAAGCAUAUCAAUAAGCGGAGGA